AUUGUGAUUGCUGGGUCAUGUGGCAAGAGUAUUUUUCAUUUGUAAGAAACUUCCAAAUUGUUUUCCAAAUUCACUGUACCAUUUUACAUUCCCACCAGCAAU
rnacentral:pre_miRNA from 1 species